rnacentral:rRNA from 1 species
CGAUGUCUAGUGCUGACUUCGGGGGACGAUAACGGCGUCGAGCGGCGGACGGGUGAGUAAUGCCUAGGAAAUUGCCCUGAUGUGGGGGAUAACCAUUGGAAACGAUGGCUAAUACCGCAUGAUGCCUACGGGCCAAAGAGGGGGACCUUCGGGCCUCUCGCGUCAGGAUAUGCCUAGGUGGGAUUAGCUAGUUGGUGAGGUAAGGGCUCACCAAGGCGACGAUCCCUAGCUGGUCUGAGAGGAUGAUCAGCCACACUGGAACUGAGACACGGUCCAGACUCCUACGGGAGGCAGCAGUGGGGAAUAUUGCACAAUGGGCGCAAGCCUGAUGCAGCCAUGCCGCGUGUGUGAAGAAGGCCUUCGGGUUGUAAAGCACUUUCAGUCGUGAGGAAGGUGGUGUAGUUAAUAGCUGCAUUAUUUGACGUUAGCGACAGAAGAAGCACCGGCUAACUCCGUGCCAGCAGCAGCGGUAAUGA